ACUGUGUGUUGUUGGGUAGGGGAGCGUUCUGUAAGCCUGUGAAGGUGGCCUGUGAGGGUUGCUGGAGGUAUCAGAAGUGCGAAUGCUGACAUAAGUAACGAUAAAGCGGGUGAAAAGCCCGCUCGCCGGAAGACCAAGGGUUCCUGUCCAACGUUAAUCGGGGCAGGGUGAGUCGACCCCUAAGGCGAGGCCGAAAGGCGUAGUCGAUGGGAAACGGGUUAAUAUUCCCGUACUUGGUGUUACUGCGAAGGGGGGACGGAGAAGGCUAUGUUGGCCGGGCGACGGUUGUCCCGGUUUAAGCGUGUAGGCUGGUUUUCCAGGCAAAUCCGGAAAAUCAAGGCUGAGGCGUGAUGACGAGGCACUACGGUGCUGAAGCAACAAAUGCCCUGCUUCCAGGAAAAGCCUCUAAGCAUCAGGUAACAUCAAAUCGUACCCCAAACCGACACAGGUGGUCAGGUAGAGAAUACCAAGGCGCUUGAGAGAACUCGGGUGAAGGAACUAGGCAAAAUGGUGCCGUAACUUCGGGAGAAGGCACGCUGACACGUAGGUGAAGUGAUUUACUCAUGGAGCUGAAGUCAGUCGAAGAUACCAGCUGGCUGCAACUGUUUAUUAAAAACACAGCACUGUGCAAACACGAAAGUGGACGUAUACGGUGUGACGCCUGCCCGGUGCCGGAAGGUUAAUUGAUGGGGUCAGCGCAAGCGAAGCUCCUGAUCGAAGCCCCGGUAAACGGCGGCCGUAACUAUAACGGUCCUAAGGUAGCGAAAUUCCUUGUCGGGUAAGUUCCGACCUGCACGAAUGGCGUAAUGAUGGCCAGGCUGUCUCCACCCGAGACUCAGUGAAAUUGAACUCGCUGUGAAGAUGCAGUGUACCCGCGGCAAGACGGAAAGACCCCGUGAACCUUUACUAUAGCUUGACACUGAACAUUGAGCCUUGAUGUGUAGGAUAGGUGGGAGGCUUUGAAGUGUGGACGCCAGUCUGCAUGGAGCCGACCUUGAAAUACCACCCUUUAAUGUUUGAUGUUCUAACGUGGACCCGUAAUCCGGGUUGCGGACAGUGUCUGGUGGGUAGUUUGACUGGGGCGGUCUCCUCCUAAAGAGUAACGGAGGAGCACGAAGGUUGGCUAAUCCUGGUCGGACAUCAGGAGGUUAGUGCAAUGGCAUAAGCCAGCUUGACUGCGAGCGUGACGGCGCGAGCAGGUGCGAAAGCAGGUCAUAGUGAUCCGGUGGUUCUGAAUGGAAGGGCCAUCGCUCAACGGAUAAAAGGUACUCCGGGGAUAACAGGCUGAUACCGCCCAAGAGUUCAUAUCGACGGCGGUGUUUGGCACCUCGAUGUCGGCUCAUCACAUCCUGGGGCUGAAGUAGGUCCCAAGGGUAUGGCUGUUCGCCAUUUAAAGUGGUACGCGAGCUGGGUUUAGAACGUCGUGAGACAGUUCGGUCCCUAUCUGCCGUGGGCGCUGGAGAACUGAGGGGGGCUGCUCCUAGUACGAGAGGACCGGAGUGGACGCAUCACUGGUGUUCGGGUUGUCAUGCCAAUGGCACUGCCCGGUAGCUAAAUGCGGAAGAGAUAAGUGCUGAAAGCAUCUAAGCACGAAACUUGCCCCGAGAUGAGUUCUCCCUGAGACUUAGAGUCUCCUGAAGGAACGUUGAAGACGACGACGUUGAUAGGCCGGGUGUGUAAGCGCAGCGAUGCGUUGAGCUAACCGGUACUAAUGAACCGUGAGGCUUAACCUU
rnacentral:rRNA from 1 species